rnacentral:rRNA from 1 species
CCUACGGGAGGCAGCAGUGGGGAAUAUUGCACAAUGGGGGAAACCCUGAUGCAGCGACGCCGCGUGAGUGAAGAAGUAUUUCGGUAUGUAAAGCUCUAUCAGCAGGGAAGAUAAUGACAGUACCUGACUAAGAAGCCCCGGCUAACUACGUGCCAGCAGCCGCGGUAAU